GAGACACAAAAAGAGAUUGAAGAUGGGGAAUAAGAGGGCUUUAAUGUUCUCGUUAGCAUUGGGAUUGUUUGUUUUUUGUGUUAGUGCAGCAGAACAACACCAUGUGAAUGCUAAAACUAAACAAAUUUCUUUGGAAGUUCAUAAGAAGUUGAAGCUUUUGAAUAAGCAUGGUGUGAAGACUAUCAAGAGUGAGGAUGGAGAUAUCAUUGACUGUGUUGACAUCUACAAACAGCCUGCUUUUGAUCAUCCAGCAUUGCGCAACCACAAAAUUCAGAUGAGACCCAGUAGUCAUGUACAAAAUUAUCAUAAUUCUUCUCAGCUGGUAUCUCAAUUUUGGCUAAGGGGUGGAAGCUGUCCAGACGCAACCAUUCCCAUUUGGAGAAUUCCAAAGCAAGAUUUAUUGAGAGCUACUUCACUUGAAAACUUUGGGAAGAAAAUGCCAGUGCAUUCUUCCUACUCCCCCACAGAUGACAAAGGCACUUUGUACAUCAACAGCACCUGAGUCGAACUCGGGCCUCAAGUUAAUCGCUGCUAUCUUGUUAACUACUGGAUACAAUAUAUAGGUGCUCAAGGAGAUAUAAAUAUUUGGACUCCAAGAGUUGAAUCACCAGAUGAGUUCACUACUGCUCAAAUCUGGCUUAAGAAUGGACCUGGAGAGGCUUUUGAAAGUGUAGAAGCAGGCUGGGUGGUAAACCCAAAGGUAUAUGGUAACGGAGCAAGUCGACUUUUCGUAUAUUGGACGAAGGACUCAUACAAAUCAUCAGGUUGCUUUGAUCUCACCUGCCCAGGAUUUGUGCAAACCAACAAAGACAUAGCCCUUGGUAUGGUCCUUGGACCUGUAUCAUCUAAAAUGGGACCCCAAUAUCAAACCACCUUCAGCAUCACCAAGGAACCAAGCACAGGAAAUUGGUGGGUGCGUAUUGGCCAAAACGUUCCUGUGGGAUAUUUUCCUGGAGAGCUCUUCUAUUAUUUGACACGCGGUGCUGCAACAUUAGUUGAAUGGGGAGAAGUAUUUAGCUACAAGGUGAAGCAAAAUCAUCCACACACUGCAACAGGGAUGGGAAGUGGAGAUUUUACAUCGGGCAAAUUGGGCAAUGCAUGCUAUGUGAAGCAAGUUAGGAUUUUAGAUUAUUCAAAGCAAUUGAAGUACCCAGAAUGGGUAGGCACUUAUACAGAUGAAGAGUAUUGCUACUCUGCAUUGAACUAUGCUGUGUCACUUGCUCAAGAACCUGUGUUUUACUUCGGCAGGCCAGGUCGAAAUCCUCCUUAUUGUCCCUAA